rnacentral:rRNA from 1 species
UACGUAGGAUGCAAGCGUUGUCCGGAAUUAUUGGCGUAAAGAGCGCGCAGGCGGUCUGCCAAGUCAGAUGUGAAAGAGGCCGGCUUAACCGGCAAGGGUCAUUUGAACUGAACAGACUAGAGGACCGGAGAGGAUAGUGGAAUUCCAGUGUAGUGGUGAAAUACGUAGAGAUUGGGAAGAACACCAGUGCGAAGGCGGCUAUCUGGACGGUUUCUGACGCGUAGACGCGAAAGCGUGGGAGCAACAGG